CUUAAUGGUGCCUCUACUGGCUCCAGAUUUGAUUCAUUAAUCAAACCUAUUUCUGUAUGUGUCGGUCUUUCUACCUCAUAAACUUCAUCAAGCUCAAUUUUACAAGUAUUAGCUCCUUCACCCAGGAACUUCUUUUUCAAAAAGAUUGUCCGACUGCUGACAAAUACCUUUCAUUCUGUAGUGAGGUAGAAGUAGUACCCUUUAGUUUUCUUUGGGUACUCUACGAACAAGCAUCUAUCAGACUUUGAUCCAAGCUUAUCUGUCUUUAAAUGCUUGACAUAAGCUGGACACCC
rnacentral:lncRNA from 1 species